AGUAGUUUGAUCAUGGCUCAGGACACGCUGGCGGCGUGCUUUAACACAUGCAAGUCGAACGGUGAACCAGAGCUUGCUCUGGGGAUCAGUGGCGAACGGGUGAGUAACACGUGGGCAACCUGCCCCAGACUCUGGGAUAACCUCGGGAAACCGAUGCUAAUACCGGAUACGACCACUUCGGACAUCCGACGGUGGUGGAAAGUUUUUCGGUCUGGGAUGGGCCCGCGGCCUAUCAGCUAGUUGGUGGGGUAAUGGCCUACCAAGGCGACGACGGGUAGCCGGCCUGAGAGGGCGACCGGCCACACUGGAACUGAGACACGGUCCAAACUCCUACGGGAGGCAGCAGUGGGGAAUAUUGCACAAUGGGCGAAAGCCUGAUGCAGCGACGCCGCGUGAGGGACGACGGCCUUCGGGUUGUAAACCUCUUUCAGCAGGGCGAAGCGAAAGUGACUGUACCUGCAGAAGAAGCACCGGCUAACUACGUG
rnacentral:rRNA from 1 species